GUGUGUGUGUGUGUUUGUGUGUGUGUGUGUAUGUAUGUAUAUAUAUAUAUAUAUAUAUACGUACACACACAAACUCACAGACACAUUC